GGAGCCCGAACUACAGAGAUACUGGAAGAGAUGGGCGGAAUCCUUGAGGAAUUCUUCCGGCAGCAAGGGUUGCCGUGGCAACGAGGUCUUCAAGGAGGACCACUUCGCACACCCGGCCCCCAAACCUAGCUCGCCCCCACUUCUGCGUGGCUUGCGCGUGCGCAUGUUAUGUGGCUUCCUCUUUCUCAGAUUAUUGGGGGGGGGGGGGAGGGGAGGUCUAUAUAAUGCUUCCUUCUAGUUAAAUAAACGGUUAUUCCUCCGCGUAAAUCUGAAAUAGUUCGCUCCCAUGUGUGAUACUUGCUAGAUUCUUUUAAUAUACCCCCCCAGGAAAAACAACCUUUAUUUUGCCGCAAUGAAGAGCAGUUAAAACGGCAAUAGUGUACAUCCUCGAUCUAAAUGUCGUUACUGCCAUUUCAUUACUUCGAUUUUGAACAGUGACUAUAUAACCAUGGGGCUAACGUGUAUUCAUUCAACUAAGCAAUCACUCAUUCAGAAAUUGUGUAUGUAGAAAGUAGGAGUAGGCAUAUAUACAUGAGGGGAAAAAAUGUUGAAGAAUUUGCAGAGAGGACAUGUCAUUGAUGACCAGUAAGAGUCACUUGUUGAGAUGGGCAGUUAUGGAAACCAAAUAGGCCAUCAUGGAUCUGGGACAAGCCAGCUUUUUGAACAACCUUUGACUCUAUUUAUCAAAAUACCUGUCAGCAAUUAUAAGAAUGAAACUAGGAGAAAUAGCCUUAAGACUGAAAACUGAAAAGUUCCUGGGAAGUUUUGAACAGGAGUUUCAAUCACACUGGAAAUGAGUGGAGAGGAGUGCCAGCUGUAUCAUUGGAUUACAAAUGAGAGGUUGAAGUAAUAUAUAGUAAGUUUUUGAAGACUGCUGAUAUAUGGUGAUCUUUCAGCCAAACUACAUGACACAUUUCCCCUGUCUCCCCUUUUAGAAGAAAAAAGACAUAAUUACAAGUAAAGUCUGGAUCAAAAAUCUACACAGCUGUUUUCACUUUAUAUAUAAAUAUGCCCAGUAUAAGUAUGCUUUUUAAAAAGCGUGAAUAAACCCAUGGAAAGAUUGA